rnacentral:lncRNA from 1 species
GGGUCUGUCUUCCUGUUGAUGUCUCCUGAGGAUAGGGAAAGAAAUUUAUGACAGUCCUACUGAAAAGGCUAAUGGAAGUUAGAUGCAUUUUCUUGCCCUCUGGCACAUAUCUUGGAACCAAGAGCAAAUGUGGAAAGUGCAGUGUAUUGCAACUGUGGACAUUUAAGAAAAUGAAGAUAAUAGUAGGCUUUUGAAGUCACAAGAGCAUUGUGAAGGUAUGAAAAUAAGAUGACUGCUGACCUGUCUCUGUGCGGUAUGUGGAAGCCACUAAAAAACAUGAACUGCAUAAGUCUUUCACCUCAGAGGUGUCCAUAGAAAUAGAAGCCACAUCUGACAGUCAGGGAGAAGAGUAAGGACAAGGACAAGAGUAAGCAGAAACAAGGAUUUCUGGAAUGGUCCCUGAACUGACUCAGGCUCAAUUCAGGUGAGUUGGGGCAGAAUUUGGAAACAUUUCAUGGCUGUUGGACAAAAGAGAUAGUGCCUUAAAAAUAGAAAGACUUGGAGGUCAAAUGUGGGAGAGAAAUAGAAACCCUCAGGAUAGAAAUGCAAAGUACACUAACUUUUUAAGCUUACUAUGAAAUUUAGAUGGACAACUGCCAUUUGUGUCACAGGCUGCAUAUCUCAGGCUGUAUACAAAACUGGGAGAGGGCAUAGGCAUUAGGUUGCGCACCUACUGUAAAAAACAACUACAACUACAACAAAACUCAAAAUCUACUUUAAUUCAGCUUGCAGAGGGAUUAGACAGACUUCUGCCAACAGGUCACUGCUGUAGUAAUGAGUCCUACUCAUCUAAGCAUUUCAGAAUACAUUUAACACAGAAAAGUCUCAUACCUGUACCUUUAAAAUUAACCAAAGAAGAUAAAGAGAACAGCAAAGGCAAUACAAGGUUUGAGACAGAAGUUUGAAUCUAACCUGACUUAUUUAUCUAUCGAUAAAUGCAAAUUGGCAUUAUCUCCUUGAUAAAUUAAAUCAAGCUUUGAUGAAAUAUACAAAUCAAUCAAUUUGUGUGUUUAGUGUUUUUUUUUUUUGUUGUUGUUGUUUAAGCAAUGUCAAACAAGACAAUGUAUCCAGGCCUACUGUGUUCUUCAUAAAUCCUUUAGCUACUUGGAGGUAUGCAUUUUAUGGGAAUUGAUGAUUUGGAAUAGGUUCAUCAUUCAUUUCACUACAAUGAGAAGCAGGGAGAUAGAUAUGAUAAAUUAGUAUCUACAGGCAUUCAACAUAUUUUUAAUGCACUUGAUCAAUUGUUUCCCUCAGACUUUGUCUGCAGUGCAGAGUGCUUAUGGUAGUUUACAGAUUUUAAUAAUACCAAAGUGUUUAAACAAACAGUUGUGGGUUGUUGUUUUUUGUUGUUUUUGUUGUUGUUGUUUUUCACGCAUUUUACCAGG